AUUGAACGCUGGCGGCAUGCCUUACACAUGCAAGUCGAACGGUAACAGCACUUCGGUGGCUGACGAGUGGCGGACGGGUGAGUAAUACAUCGGAACGUGCCCGAUCGUGGGGGAUAACUACUCGAAAGAGUGGCUAAUACCGCAUACGAUCUACGGAUGAAAGCGGGGGAUCGCAAGACCUCGCGCGGACGGAGCGGCCGAUGGCAGAUUAGGUAGUUGGUGGGAUAAAAGCUUACCAAGCCGACGAUCUGUAGCUGGUCUGAGAGGACGACCAGCCACACUGGGACUGAGACACGGCCCAGACUCCUACGGGAGGCAGCAGUGGGGAAUUUUGGACAAUGGGGGAAACCCUGAUCCAGCCAUGCCGCGUGCAGGAUGAAGGCCUUCGGGUUGUAAACUGCUUUUGUACGGAACGAAAAGCUUCGGGCUAAUACCCUGAAGUCAUGACGGUACCGUAAGAAUAAGCACCGGCUAACUACGUG
rnacentral:rRNA from 1 species